GAUGAACGCUGGCGGCGUGCCUAAUACAUGCAAGUCGAGCGACCAGACGAGGAGCUUGCUCCCCUGACGUUAGCGGCGGACGGGUGAGUAACACGUGGAUAACCUACUUAUAUUACUGGGAUAACUUCGGGAAACCGGAGCUAAUACUGGAUAAUAUAUUGAACCGCAUGGAUCAAUAGUGAAAGACGGCUUUGCUGUCACUUAUAGAUGGAUCCGCGCCGCAUUAGCUAGUUGGUAAGGUAACGGCUUACCAAGGCAACGAUGCGUAGCCGAGCUGAGAGGGUGAUCGGCCACACUGGAACUGAGACACGGUCCAGACUCCUACGGGAGGCAGCAGUAGGGAAUCUUCCACAAUGGGCGAAAGCCUGACGGAGCCAUACCGCGUGAGUGAUGAAGGUCUUCGGGUCGUAAAGCUCUGUUAUUAGGAAAGAACAGAUGUGUAAUUAACUAUGCACGUCUUGACGGUACCUAAAGAGAAAGCCCCGGCUAACUUCGUG
rnacentral:rRNA from 1 species